CGGUUAAGCCUCCGACUUCAGCCAGGUCACGAUCUCGCGACUGAAACACGGUGAGGUAGCUGUACAGCUUCGACUUGACAGAGCAAGACCACAAUGGCUAGCUGCCUUUGAAGAUAACAGAGCUAUGUGGUGGAGCUAUUUUGAGAAGAUGGGGAGCAGAAGUGAUAUGUGCCAUUCUGGCCAAUAAACACCUUGGUACAAUGCUCUUGAGAAACCUAAGAGCUUAUAUUUUUUUCAUGAAGGCAAUGCCCACCCAACCUGCUCUGCAAAGUGUCCAAGACCCAUGCUACUAACGCCAUGCGGGCCCUACCAUCUGCUAGAGAAGUCACAAGUCAAUGAUGGUUGUUGCAUUAAAGCACUAGGCACAGAUCAGCUGGCUUUCCAGAAAUAUACUACACUAUCUGGAAAUCCAGGUGUGAAGAACAAAUUUCUGUGCCCUGGAUAUUAAACAGAGAUGGCCUCCUUCAUAAACUAACCACAGCCAAUUUACGCAGAUACCCACUGCAGAAAAAGCACAAAACAGUAUAAACAACAGAUCGCUACUUAAUCCCCAUCCAUUUUUAAAAGGAGUUCACCAAGAUGUUUCAGGUGGAAGAAAAGAAUACUGAAGAGUCUAAUGGCCCUCAAAGUACUAUUUCCACUGCCAGUUUUCACCGCAGAAGCACAGGAAACACCUCAAAGUCCUGCACAGAGAUGGGUACAGCCUCAUGGACAACUGUUGGGCCAAUGCUUUGGUUUUCGGCGGUACACAAACAGAAAGGUCCUGGGCAGCAAGUAACAACAUGAGAUAAGAAAAGAAACCCUACUGGGGUGCCUAAGUGGUUCAGUUGGUUAAGCAUCU